AAACAACACACUGUUGCCCAUCAUAAUGAAGAGUAUUUGUUAGCUAAGAGAUGGUUGUACUGAUGGCUUGUUUUUCAUUUUUUUUGUGCUUUUUGGUCCAUCUAUUAAUAAAAAUGAACCCCGUUACAGAGUCACCAUCAUGUCUCUUCUCACCACCCUCUGAAUCUGCAUUAGCCAGUCAACUAGCCCUUUCAGCGUCAUGUGACCAGCGCGCCCCAUUCAGCUUGGCUGGUGUCGUUUCACAUGACCCAGGCUGGCCAGUCGUCAGGUUGCACCGCCCUUUGGUUCCCGAGCAUGCUGUUUUCUCUCAGCCUUCUCUCCAACCUUAACCAAAUCGGCAGCAGCCACCUCGACCGCCCACACAUUCCUGGCCAAUCAGCUCAGCUGUUUAUUUACCAAAUGUCUUCACAACAACUACAGCAGCAGCCUUCGGCUAACAAAAAAGCAGGAAAAAUCCACAACACCCCCUUCGCCAACCAACUAAAUCCAACGCAACAUCUGGCAAAACCUUUUCAGCAAAUUCUUCCUGGCCGUCAGUCCGGCAGCCUCACCUCACCAUUUCUAGCUUGUUGAAACCCAAAACUAGUAAGUUUUUCCUGCUUAUACAGUUUACUGCUGGUUAAAAAUAAGGAGUAAGCGGCUUAAAGUAAUUCUUUUUCUGGAUCAAAGGCUGGCUGUGCAUAAUUGAAUGGUAACGUACAAUAUAUUGCUUGAAACAACUUUUAAGGGUGAUAGGGAACUCAUAAUGUGACUAGACCUUCAAGUGAGCUUAUGUGCAUGUGUGAGAUGCCAAACUAAAAUUUAAUAUCUCUAACAGAUUUCAGCUUUUCUUCCUAGCAAAAUUUUGUUGAAUCCUAUCACCUUUAAAUGGUUUUACUAACAGUUUUCAAAGUUUAAAAA
rnacentral:lncRNA from 1 species